UCUGUGGACCCCCGGAAAAACAUCUCUGCCGCGAGGAAAUCGUGCGGUGAGGCGCAGCUAAGUUGGAGAUGACGACAUGUGGUGUGAAAAAAUCGAAUGGUCAUGUCCCGAAGGACCAGCGAUCCCCAUCUUCGGAUUCCACCAAUGACCAGCUUCGUGUGACCUCAACGGAGCAGCGACCAAAGCUUCCUUCGGUUCAUUUCCAUUUUAGGUUGUGUGAUUUCUUCCACAGAGAGACCAAUGACCUUUUUGUGGAAAACCACGACCAGCGACGACGGACUAGCGACCAAAACUUCCUAUUGCCAGUGCGACCUGGAAUUUUUUAUCAGACUUUCGUUAUCGGAUUGUUUCAAGUAUGAGUCGAAGAAAUGGGAAUCCGACAAAAUCCACAGUGGAUUUUUGAAGAGGAGGAGAAGCUUUCAGUUUGUGAAGAACUACAGAAAUCGAUUGUGAAGAAAAAUGCGGGUAAUCAAAGGGAGAUUUGGGCGAAAUGGGUCGAAGGAACUGGGGUUUCACCAUGGCCGUUCGAUUUUUUCUCACCACGUGUCGUCAUCUCCAACUUCGCCAGCCUCACCGCGCCAUUUCCUCGCGGCAGAAGAUGUUUUUCCGGACCGCUAUGCCGCUUGUGUAAGAAGGAAAAUGAGAGUAACUGACAUCUUUUCUUCCCUGGGACUUUGUCAGUGGUUCACUGCGACUUCAUUUUAUAGUUUGGUUGAACCCCUCAUUUUCAAUCCUUCUGUGGAAAACAGAUAAGCAAACCCUUGUCUUGAUUCUUGCCAUCUCAUUUCAUUCCAUUUGGAUUUCUAAAGGAAUGCAGUCUUAUUUAGUUAGGUGCAA